UGUAUUUUAAUGUUUUCUGAAUUACAAUGAGUUGGUUAUUAAAGAGAAGGGAUUGUAAAACAAAUAAUGACGUCAUACUUCUACACGAAAACCAGAAGAUAUCUCAUUACUUAUUUAGGGUACGUGGUCAGGGGGACAACACUCACCGUGUGUAGGGAUCAAACAAAAAGCUUAAUUUGAAUAUUGUCAUUAAAUUCACAGGUAUACUAGGAUACUGCUCGAUAAGGAAGACGGUAUCUACGAGCUGAUGAUUUUGUGUUGGAAGCCGGACCAAGAAAGUCCUAUACACGACCAUCCUGACUCGCAAUGCAUCAUGAAAAUCUUACAAGGGGAGGUGUUCGAGGACCUGUACACAAUGUCGGAAGGCAAUGAAGUUCAGGCAAUGACACAAAUAGGAGAGCAGAAAACAUAUAUAACGGACCAGAUGAUACACAUCACUGAUGGUGUCGGUGUUCACCGAGUCGGAAACAGUAGUAAGGUGCAUGCCGUCACCUUACAUCUUUAUUAUCCGCCAAUUAUCACGUGUGGAGUGUAUGAUGUCAAAACAGGUACGAAGACUGUAGUCACACCGGAAUUCGACUAAACGUUCGCUUCGGAAAUAUGAUGACAAAACAAGUGAAGUGACCGUAGCCAAUUCGACAUUCGACAAAAACUUUAAAAAGAAGUGUUGAACUCUUUCUAUUCGACAUCUAUAAGGCGGAUCGGAAUUCUGGGGACUAGAAGUAAUAAAGAUAUUGAAUCACAAUGCCUGGGUAAUACCACAUAUCAGGUGGCGGUGAUGUUUUGAUAAACGUCUGUUUCAUACUGUUUUUUACUCGUAUUAUUCCUUUAUGAAAUGCACUCUAUGUAUCUGUUAAGUCCAGGGAUCCGCGCUUGUCCUUCUCUGAAUUUCGUUUUCUUUAUAGCAUUUAUGAGAUUGGCCACUGUUCUUAUCUUCACCUUUUUAUUAUUCACUUGUUACUCAGAAUGUUUCUCCCUUGAUUUAUUACAUAUAUAACCAAUAAAAUUCUCUGUGAAUGAA